UACGUAGGGUCCGAGCGUUGUCCGGAAUUAUUGGGCGUAAAGAGCUCGUAGGCGGUUUGUCGCGUCUGCUGUGAAAUCCCGAGGCUCAACCUCGGGCCUGCAGUGGGUACGGGCAGACUGGAGUGCGGUAGGGGAGAAUGGAAUUCCUGGUGUAGCGGUGGAAUGCGCAGAUAUCAGGAGGAACACCAAUAGCGAAGGCAGCUCGCUGGGACGUGACUGACACUAAGGCGCGAAAGCGUGGGGAGCGAACAGG
rnacentral:rRNA from 1 species